CCUACGGGAGGCUGCAGUGAGGAAUAUUGGUCAAUGGACGAGAGUCUGAACCAGCCAAGUAGCGUGAAGGAUGACUGCCCUAUGGGUUGUAAACUUCUUUUAUAUGGGAAUAAAAUGUUCCACGUGUGGGAUUUUGUAUGUACCAUAUGAAUAAGGAUCGGCUAAUUCCGUGCCAGCAGCCGCGGUAAUACGGAGGACCCGAGCGUUAUCCGGAUUUAUUGGGCUUAAAGGGAGCGUAGGUGGAUUGUUAAGUCAGGUGUGAAAGUUUGCGGCUCAACCGUAGAAUUGCAGUUGAAACUGGAAGUCUUGAGUACAGUAGAGGUGGGCGGAAUUCGUGGUGUAGCGGUGAAAUGCUUAGAUAUCACGAGGAACUCCGAUUGCGAAGGCAGUUCGCUGGACUGCGACUGACGCUGAGGCUCGAAGGUGUGGGUAUCAAACAGGAUUAGAUACCCGAGUAGUC
rnacentral:rRNA from 1 species